rnacentral:snRNA from 1 species
AUACUUAUCUGGCAGAGGAGAUACCAUUGUCACGAAGGUGGUUUUCCCUAGGGCAAGACUUAAUGCAUUGCACUCCAGAUGUGCUGACUCCUGCGAUUUCCCAAAUGUGGGAAACUCGACUGUGUAACUUGUGGUAGUGGGGGCUACGUUCGUGCUUUCCCCUG